AAGGAAUUGACGGGGGCCCGCACAAGCGGAGGAACAUGUGGUUUAAUUCGAUGAUACGCGAGGAACCUUACCCGGGCUUGAAAGUUAGCGACAGACCCUGAAAGGGGUUUUCUCUUCGGAGCGCGAAACUAGGUGCUGCAUGGUUGUCGUCAGCUCGUGCCGUGAGGUGUAGGGUUAAGUCCCAUAACGAGCGCAACCCCUAUCGUUAGUUGCUAGCAGGUAAUGCUGAGGACUCUAGCGAGACUGCCGGUGCAAACCGCGAGGAAGGUGGGGAUGACGUCAAAUCAGCACGGCCCUUACGUCCGGGGCGACACACGUGUUACAAUGGAUGGUACAGAGGGUUGCGACAUAGCGAUAUGAAGCUAAUCUCUAAAAGCCAUUCUCAGUUCGGAUCGCAGGCUGAAACUCGCCUGCGUGAAGUUGGAUUCGCUAGUAAUCGCAUAUCAGCCAUGAUGCGGUGAAUACGUUCCCGGGCCUUGUACACACCGCCCGUCAAGCCAUGGAAGUUGGGGGUGCCUGAAGCACGUGACCGUCAAAGGAGCGUGCUAGGGCAAAACCGA
rnacentral:rRNA from 1 species